rnacentral:rRNA from 1 species
UACGUAGGGGGCUAGCGUUGUCCGGAUUUAUUGGGCGUAAAGAGCGUGUAGGCGGCCAUGUAGGUCCGGUGUGAAAACUCGAGGCUUAACCUCGAGAUGUCAUCGGAAACCAUUUGGCUAGAGUCCGGAAGAGGAGAGUGGAAUUCCUGGUGUAGCGGUGAAAUGCGCAGAUAUCGGGAAGAACACCAAUAGCGAAGGCAGCUCGCUGGGACGGUACUGACGCUAAGGCGCGAAAGCGUGGGGAGCGAACAGG